rnacentral:lncRNA from 1 species
CAAUCAUCGGCGUUCCAAAGACUCGAAUACACUCUCAUCGGCUGGCUCUUUGGGAACGCAACGCCCAUCGAUUCCAAGUCCUUGAACUCUCUGAGCGGAGUCCCAUCAACAGAGAAGCUGUGAACAUUCAAAAGAACCACAGUUAAACAUAAUGAAAAAUAAUCGAAACUGUAAAAAUUGAAUGGGGGGGGGGGGGUGUGAAAAAGAAGACGUACAUAAUACGUUGAGGGUUCCAAAGAAGGGAGUAGGUGUGGAAGUCUUUGGUGGGAUCGAACCAAAGGUAGAACUGUUGCUCUUUCUCACCUUUGCCUUGUGUAUAUACAUUGGUGUGGACUGUGUAUGGGUCUCCGCUUAGGUUCCCCAAGAACUCGAAGUCGAUUUCAUCCCAUGUCGACCCUUCCGAACGAAGCUGCAAUUGUCACCCCACAUAUCAGCACAGAGUUGUAAAAUAAAUAAGAGACAAGUAUGAUGAUACAACGUACAUAGUAAGUGGUAACAGUGCCAGCAGAGUUGCCUGGGACCAGCUUAAUGUUCAUAUCAAUCUUCCCAAACAGAUAUUGGUUCUUGGAUUGAAAACCAGAGCCGGAGAAUUUGUCGAGGGUGAGAGUGAGAAGGUUUCCGUUUUCGAGAAUCUUGCCCCUGCCAUCACCCCAAGUAACAUCGAUGUCUUGGUUAAAGUCGGCAGCUGAGGCAAGUAUUACAAAGCUGAAUAAAAGAGAAAGAAGCAACGAAGUGGUCAUUAUUUUGGUGGGUUUGUAUUGUAAUUUAGAUUAUGAUGUUUGAAAUGGGGAAGUGAUAGAGGGUGGUUAUAUAGGGGGGAAGGAUUUGGUGAAACAGAGUAGAGAGGGGUUGUUUGGAAGCUUCGUGCAAUGUGUUUCCGUCGGGACAUUGAGUGAAUCGAAGUUGUAAACAGCUGGAACCAUAAAAGAGAAAGAAAGAACUAAUGGCUGUUCCUUGCUUCCAAAAUGCAUGUUUAAUUAAUGGGUUUGGUGCCUUCUUCCUAUGUCUGGUUGGUGCAAGCAGAUAGAUAUGAAAGUCAGGAAUUUAAUCCGAUUUUAAAAUUUGAGCUUUUAAAUAAAAAAUAAAUUAUUUAAGAUAAUAUAAAUGAAUGUUAAAAUAAACUUUAAAAAUAUAGGUGUUUUUACAUCCAAUAGUAAGUUACAUUAUAUUUUUAAAAAAAAAUCGUGUAUUUGAAUUUUGAAAAUAUCGAAAUGAUCUUAAAAUAAACAUGAUUGAUUUGUUCUACAAUUUGAGUGAACCAAAAGAUUUCAUUAGCUUAAAAUCAGCUGUGUUAAUUAAUGUGAGUAAUUGUCAAUGGCAAAACUAGGGGAGGAUAGCAGGGUCUUAGACCCCCUAAAAUAAAUAAAAAUUUCGUAUGGUCUUUUGAGUAAAGGUAAAAUUAUAUUUUGGUCAAACUUAGAAAUAUAAAAAUUUGAUUUAUUCCUUUAAAAAUUAUAAAAAUAUAACCUAUUAAAAUGAUGAAAUUAUAUUUUUUUAUCAUAAAAAUUACAAUUUAAUUUUGACUGUUAAAUAUAUAUUUUUUAAUUUCACCCAUUGUCAUUGUCAUAUUGAUUGACUAAUUUUUGGAUCCAACAAAAACUCAUCCACUGGGCUCAUCAUCUCAAACAAAAAUAAUAAUUAAAUUAAUUAUAAAAAUGUCUAACCAAGUUCACAUUUUUAACAUUCUUUCAAUGAAAAUUAAAAUGAUUUUUACGCUACGUGUUAUUUUGAUUAUUUAUUUAUCUCAAAUUAUGGAGUAUAAAUUUAAAUGUUAAAAUAUACUUUAAUCCUCCUAUUAUUUUCAGAAAUUUAAACCCUCGGAUAAAUAGACAUAGAUGAAUUAUUUAACGAUUAAGUAGAAAUUAAUCACAAAUAAUUAAAAUAGAAAAAUAAAAUUUAAAAUUUUUUAAAAAAUAUAUUUGAACAUUAAGUAGCAAAAAAAAAAAACAAGUAACUUAAAUGUGAAAAUAAAAUUUAAAAAUUAUAAAAAUUAAUCCUUUUCCAAAAUACUAAUUAAAUUGUCUUUAUUAAGUUUUAAUACCUAAAUUACUUCUACUAAUUUUUUUAUAGUACCUAAGCUACCUCUAUUUACUCCUUAUGGCUAUCAAAGGAGAUGGUUUUAUUAUUUAUAGAUAACUUUAAAUAAAAGAAUGUUCAUCAAUUAGCUUUUAAAGUAUUGAUAAGUGUUAAAAGUAAUAUAUUUUAACCUCAUUCUUAAUGUGUUUUUGGGUGAUAAUUAGAUGUUAAUUGUGAAUUUUAUACUCCAAAUCCUUUAAAUUCAUGUUUUGAUGCCUAAUAGAGCAUUUGGGAGCAAAAUGAGCAAAAAACGAGUAAAAACCGAAAAAUCAAAGCAAGUUAUAGGACCUAUACGGGCUGACCCAUUCCACAUGACCAUGUGACCCACAUGAGCUACCAUACGAGCGUGUGGUAGGUCGUGUCGAUUGCGCAGAUUUGCAUUCUGAAUAGCAAAAAAUCACGUUUGAUUUUUUUUACGCAAUAAAUAAUUAUUUUUUAUUCUUAAUUAUGUGUGCUUAAUUUAUUGGUUUAAUAUUUCUAAACUAUUGAUUCAUAUUUGAUGUACUUAAAUCAGAGGUUAAAUAAACCAUAUGUAAGAGUAAAUUUUGCUUAAUUGAGUGGAGUUGCAUGUAAUCCCAAAAAUAUGAUGACAUAAAUCUAUUGGAUUAGAGUCAAAUCUAAUUGGGGAAUCCAUAGCCCGAGUUAAUGUGAUAAUAAGAGUUUUAAUUAAAAAGAAAAUUCAAUUAAUCAACCUAGAGUCAGUUGCUCAUAUUCUCGAAAGAGAUAUUAGCAUAAUUAGGGGUUUCCAUGGAUCAUGUCACUAAAUAAAGAAAUUGCGUAAUUUAGAUUGAUAGUGACAGAUGAAAUCUAGGUGAAUUAUUUCAUGAGUAUUGUUUCGCUUAUUAGUUAUUAAUCGUUUAUUCGCUUCUUUUGUUCUUUGCUAUGUUCAUUAGUUAAUUAAAUUUAGUUUUUAGAUCAAUCACUCGAAUUAUUCUGUUAAAUAAUAAAAAUAAUAAUAAUUAUUAGUACUUUUAAUCUUCGUAGGAACGAUAUCUUUAUUCAUUAUAGCUAUAUAAUUAACUGAUAAAUAUAUUUACUUUAGCUAGUUCGGUGGACAUAAAGUAAUAGCAAUAAUUUGGAAUGAUUUUUUAUUAAAAUUUUAUAAAUAAAAAAUAAUAUUGAGAAAUCCAACUUAAGAAUUCAACACUAAUAUCACAUAAGAGAAAAGACAUAUGAUAUGAUAGGAAAGCAGGUUCAUGAAUGGCUUGUGGAUAAUUAUGAAAAGGCAAACAAAAGAGAGAAAAUGAUUACAAAUAAACAGCUGGCUGCCAGAAUCAUUUCAUUGUGAAAAAAAUAUGUUAUAACAUGUUAAAAUAAUGUUAAUUUAUAUUAUAAUUAUAAUUCUCAAAUAAUUUUGAGGUCCUAAAUGCCUAUAAAAUAAUGUUGUGGCAUGGCCCCAUGGAGGUCUUGUUUGGAAUGGAUGUAUGUAUCAGUAUAUCCCACCAACUUCAAGUCGGUUGGCACACAAUACACGAACAAAUCAUUCACAAUAUAGUAAAAUAAUAUAAUUGGUCCACCUUAAAAGUUUCCAUUAUCAUACAUACUCCUAUUUGAAUAUAUAUAUAUAUAUAUUACUCACGUAAGUUUGUCUUUAAAACACAAUUUCCUUAGUAUAAAAUAAUUAAAUUUUGAGUUUUUAAUUCAUUAAAUACUUCUUCUUCUAAAUUAACUUUCAUAAAAACAUAAAUUUGAACUUUCUUAAUAUAGAUCCCCACUUUUUUUUUUUACUUGAAAUCGGGAAAUUUCUACCGAGAUAAGUGCUAUUCAAGAACAAUUAAUUGAUUUAGAUUUGUGAAUUCUUAGAGAUUAUUUGGUGGUAGAAUGGAAAAAGUUUGGAGAAAGAAGAAAGGAUUUUUUGGUUUCGGUGCAUGGAAUUGGUUAAGCAUUUUAUUCGAACAGAUAUAGAAUUGGAAUGAAUGGUUUUAUGUCGUUUGGCUGUUCAGAUCUUACCUGUUAUAGAGAGGUGGUUGUUAUACACCUAUAACAACAUGUUGUUAUAGAGAGAUAAUAAGCUUACCAUAAAAUUUGUAUUGUGAAUUUUCAUUAAAUAAAGAAAAUGAGAAUUAUAUUCAAAAAAGAAAGAAAAUAGGAAUCAAAUAAAUAAAAUUAAAAGACAUAUAAUAAGUUUAUGUAUUAUUAUUUUUAUGCAUAUUUUAUUUUACAUUAUUUCACAUGAUUAAUUAUAAAGUCCAUAAAUCUAAUAAGUUCAAUUAAUCAAUGAGUUAUCAAAUUAAAUUAAUUAAUUAAUUAAUUAAUAAUCAUUGUUAACCAAUGAGGUAAACAAGAGGAAGAAGAAGAUGAUUGAACGAGGAAGAAUGACGUGAAGGUUGGGGAGUGAUUUUAGUUUUGAAGAUAGUUAGGGGAUUGGGAAGGAGUGUGUACGUGAAUCUGUAUGACUUGUUUGCAUGCCCCUUUUAUAGUGGGGAAUAAGCUUGGAUACAUGUCUUGAGGUUACUGACAUGGAAAUUUGAUUUGAUACCCUUGGCAGUGAUAAUGAUACUACGUCCUAGAAUCACGUCCUAAGAUGAGAUGUUAUAGGGCGACUAGCAAUUAAUUACUUUGGGCCUCCACGUGCCCCCACAUAGUCUUAGCGGAGUUGUUCCUUUCUAAAGUUCAUCGAGUUGAUGUUCGUGAACCAACCCCAAGUUCGUAAUGUAGUUGGUUCCAUUGAGAGAUACGCGUUCAGCUCUCUAUGGAUGCACUUUGAGGUUCGUAAAGUACAUUGUAAGGUCUGGGAGGACCACUAGACAAGGUAUAACAAUCAUGAAUUACUAAAUUCAAGUAAUCAAUUUAUAACUUUAUGAUAUUUUAAAUUCAUAGCAAAAUAUUUAAUUAGGGAGCUUAAUAGUUCAUGGAAUUGAUAUAUUUAAUUUCACUCAGUGAAGAUUAUUUUCAUUUAAUAAAACAUGAUUAAUAAAUUUCUUCAAGUGAAAAUUAAUCAUUUUGUUGAAAUAAUAUUUUAAUUAAGAUAAUUUUCAUUUAAUAAAUGAUAAUUAAUAGGCUUGCUUAUAUGAAAGAGCUAUAAUCUUACUUAAAAUUUAGAUAAUAUGUUGUUAUAGAGAACUAAUUUAAUAAAGAACGUACUUCAUAAUUAUAGAUGUUACAAUUAUAAGUGAAAAAUUAUUAUAGAAAUUUAAAAUAGAAUAUUAAAAAUCGAUUCUUCUAAAAAUUUAACUAUUAUAAUAGAAUGUUGUUAUAACGAGUGAUUGUUAUAGAAAAAAUUAAUGCAUCACCUUAACAAAAUAGAUAAAUUUAAACUCUGACAAUUAUGAAUGAAGCAUAUUAAUUUUAUUUUCUCCUCUUAAUAUCUAAUCUAAGGUUUUGGUUUAACUUGCAUAUUUCAAUGAAUUAAUGAAUUUUGUUCAUCUAUCACAUACGCGUGUGAAAACUAUAUAUUUAGAAUACAUAUAAUAGAUUAAAAAUAAUGAAAUAUAAAUAUUGAAAUUAAUUAACAAUAACACAUAAAAUAUGUACGAUAUUAAAAUAAAAAAUCACAUAUUAAAUUGUGAGUAAAAUAAAAUUUAAAGACAUAAAUACAUCAUAUUAAAAGCACUAAAUACACUCCAAUUGCUUAUUAUGGUGUUGUCAUCAAUCUAGAGUUAGUGUUGAAUUCACUUAUGACACCAACUCAAUCAGCAACAUUAUUAAUACUAGAAAUUUUAUCACACAUAAGCGUGUGGAAAUCACAUAUUUAGAAUACAUAUAUGUGUUUGAAAAUAACAUGUAAUAAAUAAUAAAAGAUAUUGUUUGAAACUAAUAAUAAGACACAUGCAAUAUGUACGAAAUUAAAAUGAAAAAAUAUAGUUUAAAUUGUAAUUUUAAAAAAGCCAUUUCCUAUAACAUGUCAAAAAGUUAUUGAAAGAAAAUUCAAAUUAUGGCACACCCACAAUAUUUGUGAAAAAUUAAAUUAUGUAUCAAAUAUAUUUGUAAAAAAUGUAUAUAAAUAAUAAAUAAUGCUUUAGUUGAAUGGUAAAGUAUAAAUGAGAAAAAUUAAAGAGACAUGAGUUUAAAUCUUAUUUUAUAUACACAUGCGCGCGCGCACACACAUAUAUAUAUUUGCAUUUUUCUAUUUUUAUAUAAAAUAAAUAAAAUGAUAGAAAUGCCUUCAAAAUAAUACAAUUUAUUUCAUAUAGUCAGGGUAUUUUAAUCUUUUUCGAACUGAGUUGGUAUCUGAUUAACCCGUGACACCAACUCAAUAAGGAGCCUUAAGUAUAGAUAUACAAUUGGUGGAGGUAAUAUAGCUGUGCAUAAUAAAAUUAAAAUUUAAAAAGAUAAAAUAAAUCUUUAGUUGAGUGGUAAUUUAAGCUUUUAUUAAUACCAUCAACUUGGGUUCAAGUCCCACUGAUUGUAUUUAUUAUUCUUUUUAAAUAAAAAGAUAAAAGUACCCUCGAAAAAUAAAAUUUAUUUUCAAGUAUUAAAGAACAUUAUGAUAAUUUUCCUAAUUGAGUCGGUACUUAAUUGACUUAUGGAAUUAAUUUAAUCAAGUACUUAAAUAAUUUUUUUGUCCCAUUUUGAUACCUCAUUCAUUAUAAUUUUUGGUCCAAAAUAUUAAUGGUAUUAAAAAAAUUGUCAAACCAACCAAUGCGCUACAUGUUUGACAUUUUCACGUGUCAUUAAUUAUGUGACCAAUUAUCGAUGAUGUGGUCGUUAAUCAUUGAUCGUAUCGAACAACUGUUUGCUAAACAUUGGUUGGCAUGUAAAAGAAGGUCACAUAUACCAUUAAUUUUUUGGACCAAAAUUUAUAACAAAACAAUAGUUUAGGUAUUAAAAUAGGAAAAAAUAUUUACGCAAUAAAAUAAGAAAAGCAGAACGGUGUGGGGGCUAACUCGUGACCUAAACUUAAAAAAAUGCAUAAUUUUGAUAUAGCAUACAUUGCUCUUAUCAUCCCAAUUUAUCAUAAUUUAUUUUUAUGCACUAAAAUGUAAAAUUAUUAUCCCUUUUUCACUUUUAUCUUACUUUUUAUUACAAUACCAAUUUUAAAAAUACACAUUCAACCUCGUUUAUUUAUUGCCUUUUGACACAGUAAAUUUCCAGAGCAAGGGAAGACAUAAUCGUAGGAUAGAAGUUGCAAAGUUUGGCAUUCUGAUCUCAAUUUUUUUAAAUAAUAACAUGAAUAAACUAAUGAUAGAUUGAUUUAUUUGUUCUCUUUUUUAUUUUUAUUUAAUCUGUUUUUUUUUUCACCAAUUUGUAUUAAUUUAAUAAUUUUGAUUUGUCUUAAAAGUGAUAAGUAUCGAAUUGAAUAUAUGUGAAAAUAUGACAUAGUAUUAUAAAUGUGAUUAAUAUCAUUAUGUGUAAUGCUAUUAUAUUGGAGAAUUGAUUAUUGGUUGAUGAAAUUGUGUAAUGAAACUGAGAAAUUGUUACCCUAUUAACUGUUCGGGUAGAGUCGGAUAUAGUUGGCAUGCCAUAGGAUAGGAAGAGUUCAGGGUUACUUCGACUACGUGUCGAUGAGGCACUGGGUGCCAAAUUACUUCGGUUGUACCGAUGAGGCACUGAGUGUCAAACACAUUGAUGAGCGUUGGGCGCAAACUAUUUACUUCGACAUUGUCCGAUGAGGCACUGGGUGUCAAACUGGUUUGAUUGGUUGGAUCCGUAUAUAUGUCCGAGUCCGAUUUAGAUUAAUAGGGGUAUAAAAUAAAAUUUGAUAAAUGAUAUUUGAAUUGGGUUAAUAUUAUGUUUUGAUGAUUUGUAUACAUAUUGUGAUUAACGGAUAUCGAUGACACGUAAAAAAUCAUACGAACCAGUUAUGCGCCUGAUGAGCCGAUAUAAAAAUGUGAUGAAUCAAUAAGUUCAAUUCAAAAUUUAAAUAAGGAAAUGAAAUAGUAAUUGUCAUUAAACUUAAAUUGGAUAUAUAAUUGAUAAAUAGAUGGAAUGACAUAAUAUUAUAAGAAUGAUGUUCAUAUGGUUAAAUGUUGAAUUGAUUUUGAGAAUGGUAUUGAAAUGUGAUUUUAGGUGAGGUUUAUUUCAUAUUGAAAUGUUAUAUGAUGAGUUUAAAUGUUAACUCAGCUUGUUGAUUUAUGAUUGUCAUGUACUUAGGUAAAAUUGUCAAGUUGAAUAACUUGUUGUGUUAAAUCGUAAAAUAAGGUAAGAUGUUUAAAUACCAGUGAACUUACUAAGCAUUUGUAAUGUUUACCUUCCACUUGUUUCCUUUUCCCUGUAAAUUGCCAACUUAAGGAACGUGUCAAGUGGAUCUUUGAGAAACUCACAUUAUCAUGUUGUUGAUUCGGUAUCUUUUAAUCGUUUAAAGUUUAAUUUUGUGGCAUGUAUAUAGGUAAUUUGUUUUGAUCAAUCUUGAAUGUUGGCACUUUUUGGUUCUUGAAUGUGAUUGGUAUUUUGAAUGGUUAUAUGUUAUAUACAUAGGUGUAAGGGUUGGUAAUGUGAUGCUCGAGUAUAAGCAUAAUAUGUAUAGAUGUUAUCUGGGAGUGAUAGUGUUUUGGGAACCUUAAAUAAUGUUAAACUUAAUUGGCAAAUAGGUUGUGUACUAAAAUGUGCACUUUGACAUUUUUGUCAAGUUAUGGUAGAAUCUUAAAUGGCGUUUGUUGAGGUUGAAAUGUUAAGAUGUUUGGCGUGCCUUAUUGAAUGAUUGAUGAAUACAUAUGCUAUUAAGCUUACCAAAGUGUUCAUUACAUGUGAAAUAACUUGUACGGUUUUGUAGUUAACAAAAUGGAUGAAUUAGGAUGUGUUUAGAAUAAUUUUAUGCGGAUUUGAAUUGGCCAAAUGUGCACCAUUUUAGCCUUUAGUUUGUUUUGAUCAUAUUUAUUCUUUUUACUAUAAUGUUUAAAAUUAUUCAUAGUCUCUUCCGAACUCAUAAAUAAAAAAAUUAACUAUUUUCAAUCUAACUAUCGUCAAUCUAAGACGAAUUUCAUAUUUUGUCGUUUUAGUAUCUUACGUAAAGAGAACGAAAGAAAAGUUCAACAACCGGAACUUAGACCUGGCAGUCUACACGUCUUCAUUUAAUAUUCGAAAUAGAAUAUUAUUAUUGAGCUUAUAUUACAUGUUACAAUAUAUGUAGAAUGAAACAAAAGAAUACUACUAAGGAAACAAAUUAAAUUAAAAUCCCUGUUAAGGAGCAGUGCAUUCUUUAGGAAGUCCCUGAGGGAAUCGCUUGGUGUCAGUGCAGUAAUUGUAAAUCAUGUAAUUUUUCUGAACCCAUUUCAGCCUUUCUUGGCUCGUUAUAUCCAGUUCUUGCGAUAGCCAUGCAUUUUGAGAGGGUGAGGUGGAGGAACAUGAUGAUUUCCCGGAAGACCACACACAUGCAUCAGCCUUGUAAUUCCUGUAAGCAGCAGUGAAAGGAGCUUGGCUCCAAUCUGUCUUAACAAGACCACCUCGAGUGGCCCAAUCAUCGGCGUUCCAAAGACUCGAAUACACUCUCAUCGGCUGGCUCUUUGGGAACGCAACGCCCAUCGAUUCCAAGUUCUUGAACUCUCUGAUCGGAGUCCCAUCAACAGAGAAGCUGUGAACAUUCAAAAGAAUCACAAUUAAACAUAAUGAAAAUAAUCGAAACUGUAAAAUUGAAUAGGAGGGGGGGGGGGUUGUAAAAGAAGACAUACAUAAUACGUUGAGGGUUCCAAAGAAGGGAGUAGGUGUGGAAGUCUUUGGUGGGAUCGAACCAAAGGUAGAACUGUUGCUCUUUGUCACCUUUGCCUUGUGUAUAUACAUUGGUGUGGACUAUGUAUGGGUCUCCGCUUAGGUUCCCCAAGAACUCGAAGUCGAUUUCAUCCCAUGUCGACCCUUCCGAACGAAGCUGCAAUUGUCACCCCACAUAUCAGCACAGAGUUGUAAAAUAAAUAAGAGACAAGUAUGAUGAUACAACGUACAUAGUAAGUGGUAACAGUGCCAGCAGAGUUGCCUGGGACCAGCUUAAUGUUCAUAUCAAUCUUCCCAAACAGAUAUUGGUUCUUGGAUUGAAAACCAGAGCCGGAGAAUUUGUCGAGGGUGAGAGUGAGAAGGUUUCCGUUUUCUAGAAUCUUGCCCCUCCCAUCUCCCCAAGUAACGUCGAUGUCUUGGUUAAAGUUGGCGGCUGAAGCAACCAUUACAAAGCUGAUUAAGGCAGAUAGUAGCAGCAAUGAAGUCCUCAUUUUUUUUGGUAGGUUUGUAUUAUGAUGUUAGGAAAUGGGGGAGUGAUAGAGGGUGGUUAUAUAGGGGAGGUGGAUUUGGUGAGAAAGAUGAGAAGAGAGAAGCUUCGUGGUAUGUGUUACCGUCGGGACAUUGAGUGAAUCAAAGUUGUAAACAGCUGGAAACAUAAAGAGAAAGAAAGAAAAGAAAAAGGUCCAAAUCAAUAAUACUGAGGGGUGUUGCUUGGAAGUUGGUACCAAUAUGCAUGUAUAAUUUAUGGAUUUGGUGCCGCCUUUCCAUGUCUGGUUACUGUGCAUUUGCAUGUCAGGAAUUGAACCGGCAGUUGAAGCAGUAAAACUUUGAUUCAGAGUUUCAACUUUAUCAUUAUAUCCAUCAGUGUAAUAAACAUAUCACAAUCAAAACACACUGUAAUACACUCACCAAUCCCAAACGCGGUUGGGGUUUGGAGGCCAGAACCCAACUGUUUAUACGCAGGCUUAUACGUUGUGCAAUUUGAGUGAACCACAAGAUUUCAUUAGCCUAAAACCAGUGUUAAUUAAUGUGAGUCAUUGUCAUAUUGGCUGACUAAUUUUUGGGGACCAAACCAGAACUCAACCACUGGGCUCAUCACGUUAAUCAAAACAACUAUUAAUUAUUAAUUAUUAAUUAAAUCCAUUACAAAAAAUGCCUGACCAUAACUAUUUUCUUUUCAUUUAUUAUCUAGACUGAAAUUUGAAUCCUUAAUUCAAAAAAGUAAAAUCCAUUGGUGAAUUACUUUGUGUUUGAUUAUUUCAAGGAUUUCCGUAAUGAAAAAAAUCUUAACUUUUGAACAAUUCAAUUGUUCUAGAAAUAUCUUAAAAAGUCAAGUAAUAAUAUACAUUCUAAAAAAAACUAAAAUUGAUAAAUCAAUAAUCUAUUAAAUAUUAAAUUUAGGUGUUAUUUGAUAAAUUAAAAAAAAUUAAAUGUUCAAAAAUUAAGUAUUGAGUUUAAGUUAUAAAAUUUGUUUGAUAUAUUACUUAAAAUUAGUUACGGAAUAUAAUUAGAUUGUUUGAUAAAUAUAGAUUUUAAAUUAUAAAAAAUUAUAUUCUACAUUUUAUCUUUAAUUUUUAAACAUUUCACCUUAUUCUAAACAAAAAUUAAAAUUUUAAACGUAAAAUUUUUAUAAAAAAAUAUAACAUUACAAAAAACUAAAAUUGAAAUAAUUGAAAAUAUUUUCAAUUAAGUGAUAAAUAAUUUUUAUCUACUUAUUAUUUUUCACAUUUUUUUAUAAGGAAUUCUAACAUAUUGCCUUAAUUUUCAACUGUUUAUCAAAGGUCUUAGUCAUGAUUUAAUUAAAAUUUACCAUUGUAUUGUGCCCUCUUCUUUUCAUAGAAAAAGCCUAGCUAUUCAACUUUUUCAAAUUAAAUCUUUGCUCUGUCGGCAGCGGCGCUGGCCUUCAAGCUUGUUGCUAAUCACAAUUCCUCUUAACAAUUUUUGUAGUUUGAUUUUGUUUUUAAUUUCAAUCUACAUUAUUGUGGUUUUGUCUGCAGUUUUGUGGUUUUAUUUUGUCCACAUUUUUCAUGGUUUUUGUUUUCUCCACUUUGUUUUCUUUGAAAAUAGUGGUGGUUUUAUUUUUACAUUUAAUUUUUUAGUCAUGUUCUAACAAGUAUGUGAGAUAUUGUAACACCCCCAACCCGUAUCCGUCGCCGGAACCGGGUUACGGAGCAUUACCGGACAUAUCGAAUAACUUAUCACUAAUUCACAAAUAAAUAACAUACAUAGCAUACUUUAAUCAAUACAUUACCUAGAUUUUAGAUACAUGCCACAAUAUCAAAAGAAAGGCACAUCACUAAAAUUCACUAAUUCAAAAAUAUUUUUAAAAUCACGCUUAACUUAUAAUUAUUAAUUAAUAAAUUUUUCUAACUUUUUCAUCGAAUUUAGUGAUCUCAAAUCACUAUUCUGACACUACUGAAAAUUGGGCUGUUACAACUCUUCCCCCACUUAAAAAAUUUCGUCCUCGAAAUUUCUCACCUGAUACAAGCUAUUAAGUCAAAUCUUUCUUCCACCUUUUUAAUCGAAGUCCAUAAAAUUAAUCAUAACUCAUAUCACUUCCGAACUCAUAUCAAAACUCAUUUUAGAAGUUGAUACUAUGACUGAACUUAACUGAGUAGCUCUGAUGUCUCCUGUCAUCACUUUCUCACUAGUAGUAUAACUAUCGAGAAUUUCCAGUAAUCGUCAAUCGAAACAUAACUGAGAAACCCAUAUUAUUAAACUUUGACUGAUAUUUUGACGUGGUUGCAUCUGUAACUUUCAACUGAUAUUUGUUUCUUUUCUUUUUUCCAUGAAAGUGUCAAGUAAUAUCAUUUUACACAACUGCAAUAACUUCAACAAGCAGGACAACUUUAACCCAUAAUAAUAUUUCCCGAUUAAAACUAACCUGAUAGAUAUAUUUUUCUAUCAAGUCUUCUAGAAUCUGAAUUUUUCAUUCUGAUUGUCCUUCUAUUUACCCAUGAAUACACAAAAUUUAUUCCCGGUCCUGAGAAUAUACUCAAAUGCAUAACAACCAGUUGCCUACGGAUUAUCCUUCAUCCUUUAUCCAGCAGAGCCAUCUCUUGCAAUCUAUGAACCUGAACCAUCUUAUCUAAUACCUUCGAACGAAGACCUUGAAAACCCAUCCAGCCAGAAAAAAAUAGAUAAUUUAAACCCAUUGUGAAGACCCAAAAUGUACUGAUUCCAUAACUGAUUAUAACUCAAUUAACUUUUCAAUGAAUAACCCACUCUGAUUAGAACAACUGAGUCGAUUUUAUCUAUCAGAUAAUAAUAUUUUAGAAUAAUCCAUUCUUCUUGUUGUCAAAACAAUCCAGAUAUACCAUAUAUCAUAAUUCUCUCGGAAUAUCAACCGAAAUUUACCACAAACUGCAUUAACUCAAACGAAUUAUGACAUCUCAUUAUUGACUUGCUGACAUAAUUCAGGAUUACCUGAGAAAUAAAAACCAAUGUACAAAUUUGAGCUCAAUCUUCCACCAUCUACUCUUUUUUCGAUGUCAACCCUUUCAUGAAAACUGGAAAAGAAUUAUAUAUAAUAAACCUAUUUCAAUUAUAAUCACCGAAGCUUUGAACUAUACCGAAGCCACAACCAUCAGAUAGAUUAAAAACUAUAGAGCAAUAAUAGGACCGGCGUUCCAACUGUAUAGAUAGAACAAUACCUCAACAUCAAUAGUGAACUCCAAAAUAGAUGAAGAAAAUCGAAAGUAGUCCCAUUAACAACCAGUGCAGUAAUACAACUUCUAUAAUAUGAUAUCCAUAUCACCGAGCUACCAUGAUCGAACCAAAAUUAAUAACAGUAACAAAUAUAACUACCUCCGGCCAAUGAAUAACUUUUAUAGAUGAACCAUGUUUAAUAAAUAAGAUUAGACCAUAAGAAUGAUAAGAAAACCGAGAUAAUAAAAUCCAAGAUGUGAAGCUAUACUGAAUUUUCGAGAAUAAAAAUCACAUUGAAUGAUAAAGAGAUCGAUGAUAUCCUAGAGAAAAUCCAGAAGAAGAAUAUCGCUCGUAUGCACUAAAAAUAGUUGUGAUAAAGACAAUAUAAAUUCCAUAUAUGUAAUUCGGAAAAUUCAGCCAGUAGAAAUAGAAAAUAACUUCAUAUGAUUCUUAUCAUCAAGUCUUCUAUCAAACAUAAUAGAUUAGAAAACCAAAGAAAGAUAGAACAAUGCCGAUCAUAAAUCAACCAGACUAACAAUACUUCCAGCUAACAUUAUGUUUAACCAAACUUUCUAUAUGAUAAGAAUCACAUCUGAAAAUGAACAGUUGAAUAUACCUCUAAGGAUAAAAGAACAUAUAGAAUACCCAGAAGAGAUCGUUGUAACAUACCCGACUAUAACAGUUGCAUUCAGAUAUCUUUGCAAUUUCAACACUAUCCCACUAACUACUAAAGUCAUCAAUAAUCUUACAUUAUCCCAAUUACUAAAGAAAUCAAUUCAGAAGAAAUUCUGAUUAACCCGUUCUUUAAAUUCUAUACCUGAAUAAAUCGAUUACUCGUGAAUAACUUUUUCCUUAAAAAUGACAUUGCGUAUCCUGAAUUAUCUUUGGAAAAAAAAUAUGAUAUCUUUUCUAGAAUUCUCUUUAAUUGCUAUCCCAUCCUUAACUCUGACCGCAUUAUUAUUCAUUCAAUUAUUGAACUCUCUUCGGUUUCACACUUGUAAACUUAAUGAAUAUAAUUCUUGUAAAUUCCAUUGUACAGGUGAGGGGGUGAAGGUUGCAAAGCCUCAAAAUUUAACUCUCAUAUAUACACAAGUAAAACAUAACAUUUAUCAUUAACUCAUUAUAAUCAUUCGGCAUUUUCAACUAUAAAACAAAAACAAAUAUAUCAGCAUCCAAAUCCCGACUCAAUUCGACUCAAUUAUGGCAUGUACCUCUAGACUCAAUUUUGAGCUCGAUUAAUUCGAGAAUCGGCUAAACCUGAAUAGCUCUGAUACCACUAAAUGUAACACCCCCAACCCGUAUCCGUUGCCGGAACCGGGUUACGGAGCAUUACCGGACAUAUCGGAUAACUUAUCACUAAUUCACAAAUAAAUAACAUACAUAGCAUACUUUAAUCAAUACAUUACCUAGAUAUUAGAUACAUGCCACAAUAUCAAAAGAAAGGCACAUCACUAAAAUUCACUAAUUCAAAAAUAUUUUUAAAAUCACGCUUAACUUGUAAUUAUUAAUUAAUAAUUUUUUCUAACUUUUUCAUCGAAUUUAGUGAUCUCAAAUCACUGUUCUGACACUACUAAAAAUUGGGCUGUUACAGAUAUAUUAGUAUAAGUAUCGCUAGAUCUAUUAGGAACUAUUCUCGAAAGGUUUUAUCAUGAUAGAUCAUAAUGAUGGUGAUAUAUUUGAGAUGAUAAGCAGAAGAAUAGAUUGUUUGAAACUUGGUUUUUUGUGCAUCAUUGAUGCAGUAGGGGCUUUGGGUUUUUUUUUUAAUUGGUGUUCAUCAUCAAGUUGAUUUGAUGAUGGAAAGGUUAGGAUACAAAGUUUUAGUAAUUUGAUCAAAUUGAUGCAUCUUUGGUUUGUUUUGAAUUAUUUUAAUGUUGCAAUUACUAUAAAUGUAUCCUUCUCUUUUUUUUUUAAGAUUAUUUUGCAGACAUGGCAUUUAUGCAUUAGUUUGUAGUGAUUUAUUUAUCGUUUGUACUAUGUACAUGUUUUUGUAUUAUUGUUGUUCAUGCUUCUUAUUAAUAAUAAUAAUUUUUUUAAAUCUUUAAAAGAAUUGCAUAGCAUUUUUUUCGAGUAAAACUAGGUAUCAAAAAAAUUAAUUGUAAUACCCCAUACUCGGCCAAAUUUCUAGGUCCGAGUUACAAGGUAUCACACUCGUUGCUGGAGCAACUACGAUCAAAUCACAAUUCGAUUCACAAUAUUAAACAUUUAAUUAUAAGUAAAACAAUCAUUUUUAGGUCUUAUAUGAGCUUAUGAAAACUCUAUUUGCUAGCCUGAGAUCGGAUUAUGGCCAAAUUAGAACAAAUUCAAAACUUCAAGUUGACGUCGUGACGUUAGGGAGUUCCUCGUAGCGAUGCAACAUACUGUCUAGCCUCAUCGCAACGACCAAAGCCCAGCGUCACACUGUGACAUGGUAUCCAGGUCUCGUCGUAACGACUACCGUUCAAUGUCGCGACGUGACAUUCUGUUUUCAAAAGAAUAAAUUUUGGUACCUAUUUGUAAACACAUAAAACCUUUUAAGUUUACCUGCAUACAUAAUUUUCUACCAAAUCCACAUACUUGGUGGUAUUCCAUUAUGCCUAAAGAACAUUUAUACAUACAUGUUAUCAUCAUUUUAACAAUUUCAUUUGAUUAUACAACCAAUUCAUUCAAGUCUUUCAUAUAACUAGUUGACACUUAUAAACAUAAGUAUAUGAACAUAAAACCAAUUAGACUAUUAUCAUACCACGAAACAUGCCUAAUUAUAAGUUACAAAUUUCCAAUUCCAUGUAUUUAGCAUAUAACCAAAUUAGAAUACCAAUUUUGACUCAACCUAGGUACAUGUUGUAUAACUAACAAAAGAAACUAGACAAACAUUGUUAAGUCGAAGGUCAUUGUCCAAAUGCUGAAGUUGAUCCUCGCAACCUCGUUAUAAACCUAACCUACGCACGGAAAACAAAAUCUUACGCUGAGCAAUAAAGCCCAGUGGUAUUUCCAUAAUCGAAAUCAAUUUAAUACAAAUUUUAAAUCAAAUGUAUACAAUUAAUUUCCAAUUCAAUACCAACUAACUUACGAAUAACUCAUGCUAUUCUUUAAUACAUAUAUCACUAUACAUAUGCUACAAGAUGCAUUAUUGAUGCCAAAAGAACCAACUAACAUACUACCUCAAUUAACAACUAGUUAACAUAUCAUAGCAAUAUACUUUACAUUCACAUUACUUUUCAAUCUAUUACAUUCAAUCAAGUCUGUAUAUAAUUUCCGAAUUGAAAUUAAAUCUACCAUUAUCAUUCCAUAUCGGCCCUUAGGCUCAUUCAACCGAUUCACAUGAUCUUUUACAUGCUAUAAAUAAAUAUCUAACACAAAUAUGUACUUGUAAUACAAUUUCAUAAUGUUAAAAUUCAUUUUCAAAUAUCAAUUAACUAUUUUUCAAAUUAUAUUCCCUAUUAACAUGACUCAGAUUUCAAGACGAAUACAUAAAUUGGUCAACUUGCAUCUCAAUUUGGCACCGUAGUGCAUCAUUGGAUAUAUCGAAGAAAAGAUAUUGGGACAUAUAGUGCAUCACUGAGCAAGCCAAAGUAAUUAUACUAGCACACGAUAUGCAUCAUCGUACAAACUGAAAUAAUUAUACUGGCAUGCAUAGUGCAUCUUCGGAUGUAUCGAAGCAAUCAUCGGAUGUACCGAAAUAAAUAUACUAGAACGUAAGUGCAUCAUUGGAUAUACCGAAGAAAUUAUACUGGUACGCAAGUGCAUCAUUGGCUAAACCGAAAUAUAACCUGUACAUUAAUAGAGUAGCCAAUUUUUCAUUUCAUCACAUAGUUCAAUUUACAUCCCGUCAUUCUCAAUUCAAUAUCAAUUCAUCAUAUAAUAUAUCAUAAUUCAACUCAGUUUCAUACUAAUUUACUAUACUGGUUGAGUCAUACAACUUUCUAUUCUAUUCAAUUUAAUCAUUGUCUCGAUAUUCAAUUUCAGCCAUAACAUUUCAACUAAAUAACCAUUAACAACUCACAUCAACAUUAUAUAAUGCAAAAUGUCAUGAAUAUACAAUAAUUAAAUUGAUCUCGGGUCAUAAAGAUACAAACUGAAAGUUCACGUCUCAUAGUCGGUUCUCGUCUUUCCUUUCCCUCUCGACGUUCCCUGCGUCAUCUUUAGCUACAAAUAAUAAUACAAUAUCAAAUUCCAGCUAAAUCAAAAUUGAAUAUCAACUUUUACAAAAUUUUCAAAUUAUUCAAUUUAGCCCCUAAAACUAAGACAAGCAUAACUUUCAAUUUAGGGCUUCGAAUAAAAAUUUAGUUUCACCAAUAGGGACCCUUUAUUUUCUAUUCCUAACAACAAUUCAUGAUAUUAUUUAUUUAUUUAAUUUGGUCCCUAAUGUACAAAGUUAUCAAUUAAACUUUACAAUUUAGUCAUUUUCUUGAAUUAAGUUUAAUUUCUAUCAAUUUAACACCUAAAUCAUUCAAUUAUCAACAAUGACAUCUCAUUAAAACUCCACUAAUUGAUCAAAUUGAUCUUUGGGUUAGCUUAAUCAAGAUUCCAAGAUAAAAAAAAAAUCUAUAAAAAUCAAAGAAAAAUGAUUAAGGACUUAUUUGAAUUUAAGAACCAAAAGUUUCAAAGUUUGAAAAUGCAUUGAGCUUUCUAUUUUUUUUCUUAGCAAUCGGUUGGAGGAGAUGAAAUUAUCUCUCCUUCCACUGAAAAGGUUCUUUUUUAUAGUUGAAUUAAGAUUAAAUUAAUCAUAUGUUAAUUAUAUUUAACCUUAUUUUGCUUAAUUAAACUAAUGUCCUCAUACCUUCCACUAACCCUUAUUUAAAUAUGGUCUAAUUGCUAUUUUGCACCUUUGAUUAAUUUCUAUUUAAAUCCCCAAGGCUUAAUCUAAUUAAAAAUAUAUAGUGAUUAAAAUUUUACAAAUUAGUCUUUAGGCCUUAAUUAACCAUAAUUUCGGUUAAAUUGACUAUCCAAAUUUUAAUUCAUCAAUACAUUUACUCUAUAAAUACCCUUAUUAAAUAUUUACAGACUCAGUUUACAAGAACAAGUUUUGAAACCAUAAAAUUCCAACGCCACUGACUUUUGGGCCAUUACAUUAAUGGUUAAUGUUUUCUUAUUGUAAAUACUCGGUUUUGACUACUAUCAUUUUUAUAUUUUCCUUGACAUAAAUAAUACUAUAUUUCAAGAAAUUGUGUACUAAGCAUGGAACAACUAGCAUCGACGCUUCACUUAAUAUCUCUUCCGGAGCAACAACUCUUGUUUAGAAUAGCUGUUGUUCAGAACAACUAUUAUCCAAGAGUAGCUGUCCAAAAUAUCUAUGUUUAGAAUAGGACUUUAGUUAGAGUAGCUAUUAUCCAAUGUUGUUGUUAUUUGAGAACAACUAAAGUUUGGAAUAACUCUUGUUUAGAAUAAUGACGUUUCUGGAAUAGUUAUGUUUAGAACAACCAUUGUUUGGAACAGCUUGUAUUUAGAGCAAUUGUGCCUUUCAGAAGAGCUAUUAUUAAGAAUAAGCCCUAGCAAGAAAAAUAUCACCACAAAACAACUCGUGUUUGGAACAAGUAAAAAUUAACUAUUAGGAACAACUUUCACCAAAGAACAACCAUCGUCUUGUGUUUUCGCAUGUACUGCUUCACCAAAGUAGAAGAAGUGGAAGUAACCUAAUAUAGCAGGGUUCUUGGGUUAUCUUCACUCUUAGGAUGUUCUGGAGAGCUUGGCUUGAUGGAUUAAGUAUGGAGGUAGUUAAGAGGUUUCCUCUUAACCCUUUCCUCUAACAUUGAGUGUUUUCCCUUAUUUUAGAAAUAUGGUGAACUCUUCUUCACUUUUCAUUAUCACCAUCAUCAACAAAACCUUUCAUCAUCCUCUCUUAACCAUUAUUGUCAUUGUAACUGAACCUUAAUUUCAUUACUCAUAUUAAUUACCUAACUUUGUAACUCUCAUUUUCUAAAAUUUAUAAAUAUAAGCAAUUAGUAAAAUGACUUUUGGCACUUUGGAAUUUUGACUCUCGAAGCUCUCUCUAAAAUUUUCUUAACUUUUUUUCUUUACUUAACUUUAUUGUCAACCACAUUUCACUUUCUCCACCUUACCAACCACCACCUACCACUGCACUCAAUGUUACUGGCUUUGCUUCAAUUUCCCUCUCCACCUUCUUUCAGUACUUUCCAUUUACUUGUUUGGAAUGUUUCCUCUUUUUGUCAAAAGAACUCUCAACACUUAUUGUUGAGGAUAAACCCAGUUAAGCAACGAAUAAGUAAAAUAACGAAGAAAUUAAAAAGAUCAAACACAAAUAUUUUAAAUGAAAAAACUCCUUCGAAGAGGAUAAAAAACCACGAGCAAAGAUAAUUUCACUAACGAAAAAAUAUGAAGAGUACAAAAUAUGGAGAUAAAACUAAACCCCAAAACUCGAAAUAAGAACCAUCAAAACAUAAUCACAAAAUUGUCUAAAAGCUUGUAAAAACUAAUACCUAAACGUGUAGUGAAUUAUUUUUCUAAGGUGGAAAAAUGACCUAUUUAUAUGCUAAAUUUGUAGGUUAAAUAAUAUUAAAAUAACCUACAUUAAUUAGAGUUUAAGUGAAAAACUAAAAUUUUAACCGAUAGAAAAAACCCAAAAAAUGCUGAACAUAACUCCACACUUAUCAAUAAUUAUCAUUUCAUAAAAGAAAAUAAAUAUUAUAGAACUAACGUCUCAUGUAUUACAUAAACCAUCAGAGCCAAAAACUUGAAAAUACGAAGCAAAGAAAGCAAACAAGGAUCUCAAUCUCGUACAAGAGAUAUUCUCUAUUAGAGUAUAGAGAGUUGUUAGUUAGUUGUGAAUCUGGUAAAAGGUUGUUGCUUAAUAUGGAGCGGUUACUCAUGUCUAUAAAUACUGUACAUCUGUAUUCAGAGAGCAAGGAUUUUUGAAUAAACAAACAAAGAAGUUUAUUCUUCAUUUUCUAUUUCGUUCUCUGUUUGGCUAGAUAUUUCUUUCUAUUUUAUCUAGUUCUUUCAUGGUAUCAUUCGCCAGUUGAUUCUGGAUUCUUGCUUCCUAUGGCUUCCGUUGAUUCCGAAUCUGGUGAACCUAGCUCCGGUGUGUUUGCUGCCGAUCGUGUCACAAAUGUCUUUCCUCGGCAUGAAGUCGUCAAACUCGAUGAAGGUACUUAUAUUCAAUGGCGUAAACAGGUAAAACUGAUAGUUGAUGGCUAUGGACUUACAGGAUUCUUAGAUGGCACCAUUGCUCCUCCAUCACGAUUCAUUCUUCUAACCGUUGGCUCGCGUGCUCUAAACCCGGCGGCUCAGGUGUUCAAGCAGCAAGAUCGGUUUCUGACAUCCUGGCUUUUGUCGACUGUAAGCUCCUCUUAUCAAUCCUCCUUUGGUGAUGCUUGCACGGCGUAUGACAUAUGAAGUAUGGCCAUUAAUCUUUUUGCAGCUGAUACUAGCGCCAAGCAAUUGAGGAUUCGGCAUGAGCUUCACUCUUUGAAGAAAGGUAACCUUUCUAUUAAGGCUUAUGUUGCUCGGAUUAAAGAUUUAUGUGCUAUGUUUGAUGCUUCUGGUUCUCAUAUCUCUGAUGAAGAGAAGAUUGAAGUGGUGCUUGCGGGAUUACCGUCGAAAUUUGAGGCGGUCAUCUCUUCUGUUCGGUUGUCGACUGGAGUUCUGUCGUUAAAACGUGUGGUUGAUGCGUUGGUUGAUUGUGAGAAUCGUCAAGUUCAAGUGUUGCAGGAAGUCAAUUUGAACGCAAAUCUUGUUGAAAACGAGUCGUCGGUGGAAUAGGCCGGUCGUGGUGGUUGUAUACCUGUUCGUGGUCGUGGCAGAGUCUUCAGAUCUCAUGUUCAAUGCCAGAUCUGCAGUUGAUUCGGGCAUGUGGCUCAAAAAUGCUAUUAUCGUUAUCACCGAGACUCGAAUGAAUCGUCCGGUGUUGAAGGUUCUGGUUCUGGGGGGUUUGUGCACCAUGGUGAAGAUAAUUUUGUGGCUCCUCAUCAGAAGAGUCAAAGAAUUGUUUAUGGUCAAAGGAGUUAUGCUGGUCAAAAUAGAUAUGAUGGUCAAAAUGUGUGUGCUGGCAUGCAUAAUAGGCCAUUGGCACGUGGGCCACAGGUGUUUCAUGCUCAUCAUGAUUCUAGCCGAAUUUGUUCAGAUGCCUACAAGUCAAAUGUGUGCAAAUUUGGUCAUGAUGAUAGGCAAGGCUAUAAUGGUAACACGUCACAUGGGUUUAAUGCUGUAAAUAGACAAUGUGCAUCACAUGGGCCGAAUGUUCAACAUUCCUCACAUGGGCCAAAUGUUCAACAUUCCUCACAUGGGCCAAAUGUUCAAAAUGUUCACCUUAAUGCUGGGCCGAAUAUUGUACCAUCAUCUAAUUUCGUUCAAGUUGAUCAAGCUGAUCCCGGCUCUCCUAAACCAAUUUGUGAUGGACUAGGUUUUGGGGUCCAGUUUUUUUAUUUACCAAACCGUGCGCUCGAGUUUAUAUUGGGUUAGAACCGUGUAUUGGGCUUCCCCGGCUAGGGGACUUACAUGCAUCUGAUUAUUUUGAGUCAUCAGAAUCUGGCUCUCAUGUUCAUACUACUCAACUUGGGUCUAGUACUGAUGAUGAUGGUUCAUUCGUUACAGUGGGCGGUGGAACCACGUCUUGGUACCCUAACUCUAGGGCUAGUCAUAAUGUGUGUCGCGAUGUGUCAGCUUUACGUGAUGUCAUGCCAUAUUCAGGUACGUCAUCUCUUUUAAUGGGUGAUGGUACUCCUGCGGUAAUUUCAUCAAUUGGUACUGCUAUUUUAUUAACUCAGUCUAAGUUGUUACGAUUGUCAAAUAUUUUAUGUGUGCCGAGUAUACGGAAAAACCUCUUAUCUGUCUCACAGUUUACUCGUGAUAAUGGUGUGUUUUUUGAGUUUCAUCCUACUCAUUGUGUUCUUAAGGAUGCUAUGACUCAGGAGACAUUGCUGACGGGCUGCAUUCGUGAUGGAUUAUAUCAGUUUCUGUGCCGGUGGUUUCUCAUUCGUCUAAUGUUGAUCCGUUUGUUGCUCAUUCGCAAGUUCCACAUCCCUUUAAAAAUUGUUCUGUGUUUGCUUUAUGGCAUAAUCGUUUAGGCCACCCGUCUGCUUAUGUGGUCAAGACUAUUCUAAAUAAAUGUAAUAUUGUUUCAAGUAAAAAUGGUUUUGAUGGUGUAUGUACUGCAUGUCAAAAAGGGAGGUCACAUAAGUUGCCUUUUUCACCUUCGACUACUAGUUAUCAACUUUUUGAGUUAAUUGUCUCUGAUCUUUAGGGUCUCGCAUCUGUUGCAUGUGAUGAAAAGAGAUAUUAUGUUUCAUUUAUUGACAUGUGCACUAGGUUUACCUGGGUUUAUCUUCUACGUCAAAAAGCUCAGGCAAUAGAAUGUUUCAUUCAGUUUCAAAAGUUAAUUAAAACACAGUUUGGCAAGUCUAUUAAGCACUUUCAGAGUGAUUGGGAAGGAGAAUACCAUGGUUUUACGUCUGUUUUGGAAUCCCAAGGAAUUAUCCAUCGACUGACGUGUCUGUACACUUCUAAACAAAAUGGAGUGGCUGAGCCUAAACAUCGUCACAUUGUUGAAGUGGGUAUUACAUUAUUGGCUCAUGCGAAUUUGCCUAUGGAGUACUGGGGGUACGCGUUUUGUUGCGCAGUUCAUCUUAUCAAUUGACUUCCUACUGUCGUUCUUCAGGGCAAUUCUCUGUUUAAGGCACUUUAUGGCAAUGAUUCGACCUAUGAUCAUCUUCGAGUGUUUGGCUGCUGCUGCUAUCCUUAUUUACGUCCGUUUGUAGGUUAUAAGUUGGAUUUUCAGUCUCAGCCGUUUACAUUUUUGGGUUACAGUCCUCGUCACAAGGGGUAUCAGUGUCUUUUACCAGAUGGUAAGGUUAUUAUUUCAAGACAUGUAGUGUUUGAUGUGCAGAGAUUUUUGUUUGCUGAGUCUAGCCCUGAUAAGUCUAUGACGACGACCAGUCAGAUUAGUACGAAUGUUGUUCCCAUUGUGUAGCCUGUUUCUUCUUCUUCGUCGUCUCAUGUGCCUUGUGUGGUGUCACCAUCUCUCCAAGGGUUUCAGUCUCAGCCUAAUGUUCCUACAUCAGAUGUUGAAUUGGUGCAGUCUCAGUUUAAUGCUUCUUCGGCUGUUGUUGGGUCUGGGUCGGAUGCUCUUCCAGUUGUACAUGAGUCGGUUUCAUCAGGUGAUUUUAAUGCUCAUCCUCAGUCUAUCUCAAGAAUGUCUGAAGGUGUUUCUUCUUCGUCUGACAGUCAAGUUAGUAGGCCACCUGUGGGUAAUACUCACCCAAUGGUCACUCGAGCUAAAGCGGGAAUUUAGAAGCCUAAGGUUUUACAUGUUGAGGCUAACGAACCUUCUACAAUUGAAGAAGCUCUGGCUGCUGCUGAGUGGUGUGCUGCUGUGCAAGAUGAGUAUGAUGCUCUUAUGCGUAAUUCUACAUGGGAGCUAGUCUCCGCUCCGUCUAAUCAUAAGGUUAUUGGGUGCAAACGGUUGUUCAGAACCAAGAGGAAUUAUGAUGGUACAAUUGCUAGACAUAAGGCUCGAUUAGUCGCAAAAGGCUGCUCUUAGGUUCCAGGUUGUGAUUUUAAGGAAACUUUUAGCCCCGUGGUAAAACUGGCUACUAUCAGAGUUAUUUUGUCUAUUACUGUGUCUAGGGGGUGGUCCCUUCGGCAGGUGGAUGUGAAUAAUGCAUUUCUAAAUGGAGAUCUUGAUACUGAAGUCUUCAUGCAUCAACCUCCUGGCUAUGUCUAGUAUGGUUCUGAUGGCAGACCUCUGGUAUGUCGUUUGAAGAAAGCGUUGUAUGGUCUUCGUCAGGCUCCUCGUGCCUGGUUUGAGAAGCUUAAAUGAUUUCUAGUAUCUGUGGGGUUUGUGGUAUCGAAGUCUGAUGCUUCCUUAUUUGUUCGGGUCGUACCGGUUCAACGUUGUAUGUUUUUGUGUACGUUGAUGAUAUUAUUGUUACAGGUGAUGUGCCGUCUGCUAUAGAGUGGUUUGUUCAAUUGUUAAAUAGUGAGUUCUCGCUUAAGGACAUGGGCGAUCUUUAUUACUUUCUUGGGAUAGAAGUUACUCGUUCUUCAUCAGGCUGUCUUCAUCUAUGUCAGAAGAAGUAUAUACGUGAUAUUCUUAUUCGGUGUUCGAUGGAAAAUGCGAAGAGUGUUAAUACACUGAUGAUUAGUUCCUCUAUCAUGACUAGAGAUGGUGGUGAGCGUUUAGAGGAUCCGACUGAAUACAAGAGCCUUGCUGGAGCAUUACAGUAUGUCGCUCUUACGCGGCCUAAUGUUGCAUACGCUGUAAAUCGAAUAUGUCAGUUUAUGCAUUGACCACUUCUGUUCAUAUGACUGCUCUAAAGCGUAUUUUGAGGUAUCUAGGUGGAACGAUUGAAUUUGGGAUUGUGUUUCGUCCGUCCACUAGUUUGUCAUUAGUUGGGUAUGCUGAUGCAAACUAGGGGUUAGAUUUUGAUGACCGGAGGUCUACUACUGGGUACUGUGUUUAUUUCGGAUGUAAUCCUAUGUCAUGGUGUACGAAGAAACAGCAGGUUGUUGCUCGGUCUACUGCUGAGGCAGAAUACCGGAGUCUUGCCGCGGUCACUAGUGAGGUUACAUGGCUUUUUUCGUUACUUCAAGAAUUACAUGUUCAGUCUACUAGUAUUCCCAAUAUUUGGAGUUCUGGUGCGGUUGCUGUUGCUGUUAAUCCUGUUCUUCAUUCAAAGUUUAAGCAUGUUGAAUUAGAUUUAUUUUUCGUUUGUGAAAAGGUUGCUGAUGGUACUGUUGCCGUUGGCGAGGUUCCGGUGUGUGAUCAAGUUGCUGAUGUUCUCACUAAGCCACUUUCGUUAUCGAUUUUUGCUCGUUUUCGGAAUUUCCUAUGGGUCUUGUCUGUGGAGAAGAUGGAUGAAUAUUAGAGUAUAGAGAGUUGUUAGUUAGUUGUGAAUCUGGUAGAAGGUUGUUGCUUAAUAGGAGCGGUUACUCAUGUCUAUAAAUACUGUACAUCUGUAUUCAGAGAGCAAUGAUUUUUGAAUAAACAAACAAAGAAGUUUAUUCUUCAUUUUCUAUUUUGUUCUCAGUUUGGCUAGAUAUUUCUUUCUAUUUUAUCUAGUUCUUUCAUUCUCGAAAGGCGAGGCUAGUAACACUUUUACUCUACGAAAGAAAAACUGAGCCACCACAAACCAAGGCAUCCCUCCCAACAAAAAAAAAAAUUGUAACUAAACAUCUUGUGAAAAUUCUUAAAAAAUUAUAAAAAAAAAUUAAAAAUUUUAAAUUUUAUAAUGCAAUUUUUUAAUGAUUUUUACAAUUUUUAGUUAACGAUUAUUUUACAGUUUUUUUAAGAAUUGAGUAUUUUGUUACAAAAUUGUGUUUUUUCUCUAGGAAUUUGAGUAUUGGCAAAAUUAGGCAAAAAGGCCACUUUUAAUAAAAAAAAUAGGAAAUCAUGAUCAAAUUGAUAAAAUAUGUAAGUAUUGAGGACUAAAUAUAUUAUUAUACCAGUUAAAAAAAGACUUUUAAUUAUCAAUUUAACGAUAAGUAAUCAAAAUAAAAAUAAAUUCAAACAUUAAUACCUAAAUUAAAAAUUUUUAAAAUUAAGUAACCAAAAUAAAAAAUGCGAGCAUAAUUAAGAAAAGUAUCAAUUUAUCCGAAUUUAUAUUAUAUUUAUUAUUAAUAUAUCAAAAUUUAUAUGAAUGUUAUAUUAUUUUAAAUCAUUUUGAGCUUCUAGUCAGCUACUAAAUGCGUAUAUAUAAUGUUGUGGCAUGGCCCAUCGAGGUCUUGCUUCGAAUGGAUGUAUGUUAAUAUAUGUCUCUCACCAACUUCAAAGUCGGCUGGCACACCAAACACGAACAAAUCAUUGGCAAAAUAUCACAAUAUAUUUAUAUCCCGAGGUGUCACAUGCGAUUUUUCUAUAGGUUCUCUUCAAGUAAGUUGACCAUAGGUCUACGGUAGCAACUGGAUACAUUUUCAAUCAGAAAAUAUUAAUAUAUACAUAUUUUAUAUAUAUCAUAUUGAUUUAAAAAUUUACAUAUAUAACAAUUAAAAAUAUUAUUUGUAUAAAAAAUAUAAUAUCAUUUUAAUUUUAGAUGGAUAAAAACAGAUUUCGUAGUUGAUUAUUACACCUAUAUAUUUCCCUGGUUAGAUGUUUUGACUUCAAUCAGAGAAACAUUAAAGUAGUAUAAUUUCCGAAACUGAAUAGAAUUAUUUAUUGAGCUUAGUUUUACAUGUUACAAAACAUAGACUGAAACAAAAGAAUACUGUGAGGCUGCUUUUGAACAAAGUAUCUGUCCUUCGGCAUGACUAGCGAAGGGAAUCUUAAUCAACAAAUUAAGAAGCAGUGCACUCUUUAGGAAGUCCCAUAGGAAAUCGCUUGGUGUCGGUGCAGUAAUUGUAAAUCAUAUAAUUUUUCUGAACCCAUUUGAGCCUUUGUUGGCUCGCUAUAUCCAGUUCUUGCGAUAGCCAUGAAUUUUGGGAGGGUGAUGAGGUGGAGGAACAUGAUGAUUUACCGGAAGACCAGACACAUGCAUCAGCUUUGAAAGUCCUGUAAGAAGCAGUGAAAGGAGCUUGGCUCCAGUCCGUCUUAACAAGACCACCUCGAGUGGCCCAAUCAUCGGCGUUCCAAAGACUCGAAUACACUCUCAUCGGCUGGCUCUUUGGGAACGCAACGCCCUUUGAUUCCAAGUUCUUGAACUCUCUAAUUGGUGUCCCAUCAACAGAGAAGCUGUAAACAUUCAAAAGAAUCACAAUUAAACAUACUGAAAAUAAUCGAAACUGAAACGUUUUUAGAAAAAUGGGAUUGUAAAAUAAGACAUACAUAAUACGUUGAGGGUUCCAAAGAAGGGAGUAGGUAUGAAAGUCUUUGGUGGGAUCGAACCAAAGGUAGAACUGUUGCUCUUUGUCACCUUUGCCUUGUGUAUAUACAUUGGUGUGGACUAUGUAUGGGUCUCCGCUUAGGUUCCCCAAGAAUUCGAAGUCGAUUUCAUCCCAUGUCGACCCUUCCGAACGAAGCUGCAAUUGUCACCCCAGAUAUCAACACAGAGUUCUAACAUAAAUAAGAGACAAGUAUGAUGAUAAAACUUACAUAAUAAGUGGUAACAGUGCCAG